AUUUCCAGAAUUUUCCUCUCCUUCUUCUCUAAACCAUUUCUCAUCCCAAAACUUCCAUUUUCCACCAAAAUCAUGAAGGAAUCUUGGAUAUUUUGAGGAUUAAGCUAAGAUUCUAUCUAUAGCAACAAUAAUCAAGAUAUUGAGCGACUUUGGCUUGGAGAAGUAGUGGACUAAGGAAAUAGCAACGGGCAAGAUAAUUUGAUUAUUGAAACAAAAUUGGAUUUAAGCGAUCGAGGUACUCAGUAGAUCAAGGUUGACCCGAGCUUCCAUUCUUGAUCCGGAAAGCUCGCUCUUUUGACAUGUACAGUUUCUGUCUUUUGCUCUAGCGCUGCAGUAGAUAGUCAGGCUAGUUUAUUUUUGUCGAGGUCUAUAGCGGUAUGGUUGUAUUUUGGGUUAUCACCGCUUUUUGUUAAUAGUUUUUGAUAGGUCUCGUUUCUGGGAAUAAAAAAAUUAUCAGAGGUAGUUUUAGAUUAACUGUUUAACUUACAAAUGAUGAUUAAUGAUAUUUAUAUAAUGGCUGUUAAGUUGUA